rnacentral:pre_miRNA from 1 species
AGAAGCAGACAUGGUGUGAUAUUGAGUCGGCUCAUCAAUCAAUCCCAGUCAUAUUCGUGUUCAAACUGAUGAUCACGUUAAUAAUAUGAUUUCUGAGACGAGCCGAACCAAUAUCACUCUUGUAUUCUUCU